AGUGAUUGCUGAUUACUGACGGCUGGGAACGAUUGAGCGUGGUUGUCGUCAUCCCUGCCGAACUUUCGUUAUAUAAACUCCAUUUGAACAAGAAGACUAACGAUUGUUUUUCCUUUUGUGGCGUCGGGUCAGAAUGAAACACAAAUGGGUUUUCGGAGCUUUUCAACGCAAGCACUGAACGCCAGACGGUCAAACUUUCCCGAUGCUUUCCUGAAAAGAAAUGUAGAAACGUGAGACGGUCCCGACACAGGUUUGAAGCAGAAGUUAGGAAAACAGGGCACAUCAAGUCAAUGCAGGACCGUAGUACGACAUCACGCAGAACUCACUGGAGCAGGCGCCUUCUCAGCUUGACACUCCAGAAGAAAAACGUCAUCUGGCGUCGACCUUCAGAUGAGAGCUCGAGGACGCUCGUGGGGCGGUGGCACAAGGACAG
rnacentral:lncRNA from 1 species